UCUGGAGGAUGAGGUAGGAUGGGGGAGGGCGCAGCCCUAGCGGCAGAGGCUGGAGCCAUAAACAAGCGCCUGGAAGAUCCGCGCACGAACGCCCAGAGCAGACGCUGCGGACCUUCUGCUGCGCCACCGCGCCCACUUGGCGGCUCGGGAGAUGGGGACCAGGCCCGGAGGCUGCGCCGCCGCAGCGCCGCCCACUAGGAAGAGGAGAAGGAAGAGGUGCCGCCAACCCGGGCUGGAGCCCAGCACUCGGUGGCGGUGGCGGUCUUCAAACCCAACUUGGCC
rnacentral:lncRNA from 1 species